UACAGCUUGUGUUGCAAGGGUGGGAAGUUCUAGGUCCCACUCUUCGCUGCCAAUGCUAAUGUGUUAUUGUUCAGUUCACAUUAAAAUUCUAUAUGCCUGCAUACGUCACGAUAAAGGCUCCCAUGAGUAAUAGUUCAGUACACAUUGCUCAUUGUGAGCAACUAAGUGGUACUGUGCUGAUGACCAGAUGUGGGUGUUAGACACAACCAUGGCUACCACACACAUCUGUGUCCUAGGUGACACGAUUAGCCACGGACGGGUGGGGCGGUAGCCUGCAUUUUGUAGGCAGUGGCUGCUUUGGCAUCAGGUGCGCCUUGCCAUUUGCCUUGCGUGCAACCCUGCUUUGUUGGUGAAAAGUAUGGCUUGAACAACUAAAAAGAUCAUACAUUUUUCACGUUCAUAAUAUGCAUGGAAGUAUAACCAAAUUUUCAAGCAUUUUUUUUGGCAGAACAAGGAAUAUGUGAGCUAUGCUAUCUUUGUUGUGGGAAAGGUGUAUCCACUUUAAUAGGUGAUAGAUGGCUGCCUUCUAACACUUCACUGCUUAUGGCACUAAGAAAUUUAUAUCUCAAGACUUCCAUUAUGUUUCAUGUCCAAAUACUGUCCCUUUUCACUUAAUAUGCAAAAGUGACAAAUGGCUUGUUAGAUAUGCAAUGUGUAGUGGAACUGUUGAAAGAUAUCUCUUCUGUACUUUACUGCUAACAUGGUGUGUGCCAAGAGAAGAUCCGUGCCCCCAUUCUUUAAAUGAUUGAGAGGGGUUAGAUGUGCCCAAUGCAGUGAAACUGACAAACCGCUGGUCAUAUGUUGAUUGUUCAACAAGCAUUCUUUUCCAGCCUUUCUAAAUGACCAAAGAGCAAGCAUGACACUUCAGUCUGUUUUCCACAUAUGUUCCCACGAGCAGAGUUAUCUGGUGAGGUGUUGAAUGGAUCUUUUUGUCCUCCAGUACAUGUGAGCAUUGUUUUAGCGUGCAGAUUAACCCCUUCUGUCUCUUGCAGUUUGGGUGAUCUACCUGGACAGUUCUGUUUCUGCACUACAUUGGCACCUUUUGGGGUUCUGGACUUCUUGUUCCAGGACUUUUGGUUGCAUAAAGUCCUCAUAUCUUGAUGUAGCAUGGUUGGUCUGGUCACUGAUUUGUAUAGUUCAGAAUACCAGCAGUCUCUACCUAUCAUUGUACUUAUCUACUUUUUUUUGUUCAAAUUGGACAUUGUAAAUAGAAUAGCUUGCUGAAUGUUGUAACUAUAGCUUUCUAGGAGCAGGUUGUAUUGACAAGUGUAUGAUGUA